rnacentral:lncRNA from 1 species
CACUUCUGGGGAGCCAGAGGCUGCCACUGAUGACGCCGAGGAGCCAAAUUUGCGGACCGGGAGUUUGGGACCGACCGUGCCCGCCUAGCACCAUAAAGGAGCGAUGUAGCGACCUGCGGCGAGCUGGUGCUUGAAUGAGCGAUGGAGCUCGGGACCGACCGCGCCUGCCUUAGGAAGCUGCUGGUGCGAGAAAUCGAACAGAAGAGCGAUGGACCUCGGGACCGACCGCGCCUGCCUUAGGAAGCUGCUGGUGCGAGAAAUCGAACAGAAGCGG